UACGGAGGGUGCAAGCGUUGUUCGGAAUCACUGGGCGUAAAGCGCAUGUAGGCGGCUGGUUGUGUCGAGUGUGAAAGCCCUCGGCUUAACCGAGGAAGUGCAUUCGAAACUGACCGGCUUGAGUACGGGAGAGGAGGGUGGAAUUCCCGGUGUAGAGGUGAAAUUCGUAGAUAUCGGGAGGAACACCAGUGGCGAAAGCGACCCUCUGGACCGAUACUGACGCUGAGAUGCGAAAGCGUGGGGAGCAAACAGG
rnacentral:rRNA from 1 species